UGGGGCCCUGGGCAGACCUCC
rnacentral:miRNA from 1 species